CUGUGGAAUGUCUGGUGAUACUGUUUAACUUGGGUACAGAGAGGAGGGUGGAACUCACAGAGUAGCGGUGGAAUGCGUAGAUACUGUGAGGUACCCCGAUGGCGAAGGCAACCCUCUGGCCUGUUACCGACGCUGAAGCGCGAAAGCGUGGGGAGCGAAGGGGAUUAGAUACCCCCGUAGUCCACGCCGCAAACGAUGUUCACUGGGUGUCGGUCAUUAAUUAGAUCGGUGCCGGAGCUAACGCAUUAAGUGAACCGCCUGGGGACUACGGCCGCAAGGCUAAAACUCAAGAGAAUUGACGGGGCCCUGCACAAGCGGUGGAGCACGUGGUUUAAUUCGAUGAUAAGCGAAGAACCUUACCUGGGCUUGACAUACUAGCAGUAGGAGCCAGAGAUGGUAACGACCCCUACUUUUGGUAGGGGAACUAGUACAGGUGAUGCAUGGCUGUCGUCAGCUCGUGUCGUGGGACGUUGGGUUAAGUCCCGAAACGAGCGCAACCCCUGUUGUUAGUUGCCAGCGGGUAAUGCCGGGGACUCUAACAAGACUGCUGGUGAAUAGCCGGAGGAAGGAGGGGAUGACGUCAAGUCAUCAUGUCCCUUAUGUCCAGGGCGACACACAUGCUACAAUGGGAGGUACAAAGGGCUGCUAAACCGUAAGGUCAUGCGAAUCCCAGAAAGCCUUCCUUAGUUCGGAUUGAGGUCUGCAACCCGACCUCAUGAAGUCGGAACGCUAGUAUGCAG
rnacentral:rRNA from 1 species